AACAAUGCUUGUUGCGGCGUAAAAUUUCGAACCGUGUCAGGGGGGAAACUCAGCAGCACUAAGAAAACCUUUGCGGGUGCAACAUUCAUUGAAGGA
rnacentral:SRP_RNA from 1 species